UACAGAGGAUGCAAGCGUUGUCCGGAAUUAUUGGGCGUAAAGAGCUCGUAGGCGGUCUGUCGCGUCUGCUGUGAAAACCCGAGGCUCAACCUCGGGCCUGCAGUGGGUACGGGCAGACUAGAGUGCGGUAGGGGAGAAUGGAACUCCUGGUGUAGCGGUGGAAUGCGCAGAUAUCAGGAAGAACACCGAUGGCGAAGGCAGUUCUCUGGGCCGUAACUGACGCUGAGGAGCGAAAGCGUGGGGAGCGAACAGG
rnacentral:rRNA from 1 species